GGAGUUAGCCGGUGCUUCUUCUGUGAGUGAUGUCCUUCCUGCCGGCUAUUAACCCGCAGGCCUUCUUCCUCACUGAAAGUGCUUUACAACCCGAAGGCCUUCUUCACACACGCGGCAUGGCUGGAUCAGGGUUGCCCCCAUUGUCCAAUAUUCCCCACUGCUGCCUCCCGUAGGAGUCUGGGCCGUGUCUCAGUCCCAGUGUGGCUGAUCAUCCUCUCAGACCAGCUACGGAUCGUCGCCUUGGUGAGCCGUUACCUCACCAACCAGCUAAUCCGACAUAGGCUCAUCCGAUAGCGCGAGGCCCGAAGGUCCCCCGCUUUCCCCCGUAGGGCGUAUGCGGUAUUAGCCUGGGUUUCCCCCAGGUUAUCCCCCGACUACCGGGCAGAUUCCUAUGCAUUACUCACCCGUCCGCCGCUCGCCACCAGGGAGCAAGCUCCACGUGCUGCCGCUCGACUUGCAUGUGUUAGGCCUGCCGCCAGCGUUCAAUCUGAGCCAUAAUCAAACUCUGA
rnacentral:rRNA from 1 species